GCACCCAUGCUGGGCUAAGACAAGGGGCAGAGGCAGAGAGAGAGAGAGGAGCCACCCUGAGAAGGAAGAGACCAGGUGGGCUCUGAGACAGGGAGACCCUUUCUACGUCGGUGCCUUGACAUGUGACUUUUUUGUCACUUCGUGCUCCAGGAUCACACCUGGAUGAACUAUCACUUUCAAAUGACCUUGUCUUUUCUCGGGCCUUCUGAACUGAUCAUCUCUUCCUUCUGAUACAAGAGGAUCUUCCCUGGAAGACCACUGCACACCUUCUAGUAACACUGCGACCCUGGAUGCAUAUUUAGAAAAAUCUCAGCACAUCUCUGGGCAAUGAAAUCAUUCUUUUGGGACCUGACACAUGAACUGAAGUGUAAUUGGCAUUCUUCGUGGAAGGGGCAUGGAUUUAAAUUGUCGUGAGUUCAAAUACCAAUCCCACCUAGCACUUACUAUACAGAUAAUAUUCUACUUUGAAGAACACCAGUAGACCGAAGCAAGAUGACUAAUUUUUAAUGCCAAAGUAUGCAAAACCUGCCACUUCACUGGCAAGCCAUGAAUUAUUCAUAAAUAUAGACUUGGUUAAUAUCUUUAAAAAUGCAGCAUAUUUUGCCUUGUGAUUUCUAGCUUCGAUAACAGUUUUGGAAUCAUGACAUAUGAACCAAAUUACAACAAGCCCCCAUAUUUAUUUUCUGUAGACUAGGGAAAUAUGUUUACUGACUCAGUAAGAGAUCAUCAAUAGAUACCCGAAAUAAGGAAAUUAAACUCAUCUUUUGCACAGCAGUUUUGCCAGUAUUUG
rnacentral:lncRNA from 10 species